rnacentral:rRNA from 1 species
UACGUAGGGUGCAAGCGUUGUCCGGAAUUAUUGGGCGUAAAGAGCUCGUAGGCGGCUUGGUAAGUCGGAUGUGAAACCUCCAGGCUCAACCUGGAGUCGCCAUCCGAUACUGCCAUGGCUAGAGUCCGGUAGGGGCCCACGGAAUUCCUGGUGUAGCGGUGAAAUGCGCAGAUAUCAGGAGGAACACCGAUGGCGAAGGCAGUGGGCUGGGCCGGCACUGACGCUGAGGAGCGAAAGCGUGGGGAGCGAACAGG